GCGGGUGUAGCUCAGUGGUAGAGCACUGCCUUGCCAAGGCAGAUGUCGAGGGUUCGAAUCCCUUCACCCGCUCCA
rnacentral:tRNA from 1 species